UACAGAGGGUGCAAGCGUUAAUCGGAGUUACUGGGCGUAAAGGGCGCGUAGGCGGUUUGUUAAGUGAGUUGUGAAAUCCCUGGGCUUAACCUGGGAAUGGCAACUUAAACUGGCGAGCUAGAGUACUGUAGAGGGUAGUGGAAUUUCCGGUGUAGCGGUGAAAUGCGUAGAGAUCGGAAGGAACACCAGUGGCGAAGGCGGCUACCUGGACAGAUACUGACGCUGAGGCGCGAGAGCGUGGGGAGCAAACAGG
rnacentral:rRNA from 1 species